ACUCUGUGCCAGCAGCCGCGGUAAGACAGAGGAUGCAAGUGUUAUUCGGAAUGAUUGGGCGUAAAGAGUCUGUAGGCGGUUUAGAAAGUCUUUUGUGAAAUACUUCAGCUCAACUGAGGCUCCGCAAAAGAAACUUCUAGACUUGAGGAAAGUAGAGGUACAGGGAAUUUCCGGUGGAGCGGUGAAAUGCGUAGAUAUCGGAAGGAACACCAAUAUGGCGAAGGCACUGUACUGGGCUUUUCCUGACGCUCAGAGACGAAAGCUGAAGGAGUGAUUAGGAUUAGAUACCCUAGUAAUUUCAGCCGUAAACGAUGAAAACUCACUGUCGAGCCAAUAUAUGGAGCGGUGGUCAAGCUAACGCGUGAAGUUUUCCGCCUGGGGAUUACGCUUGCAAAAGUGAAACUCAAAGGAAUUGACGGGGACCCGCACAAGCGGUGGAGUAUGUGGUUUAAUUCGAUGCAACGCGAAAAACCUUACCAGGGUUUGAAAUAAUUUCAAAACUUCUUGAAAGAGAAGCCUCCUUCGGGAUGGAAUUACAGGUGGUGCAUGGCUGUCGUCAGCUCGUGUUGUGAAAUGUCAAGUUAAGUCUUGUAACGAGCGCAACCCAUGUCUCUUGUUGCUGUUUACAGUGCUUAAGAGAAACUGCCGAUCAACAUCGGAGGAAGGUGUGGAUGAUGUCAAGUCAGCAUGCCCCUUACAUCCUGGGCUACACACGUACUACAAUGGUCGAGACAAAGGGUCGCUAACCUGCGAAGGUAUGCCAAUCUCAUAAACUCGAUCUCAGUUCG
rnacentral:rRNA from 1 species